GUGCCUACUACGUGGCCUUCGUGCCUGUGUGGUUUGUCAAGGUGAGGCCUGGCUGGGAGGUGACCCUGGGGCACAAGGAGGGGCCACAGUCCUUGGUUGUGGCACAGUGAGGGGUCACAGUCCUUGGUUGUGGUGAUUGUGGCACAGUGAGGGGUCACAGUCCUUGCUUGUGGUGACACUGGGGGACAGUGAGGAGCCACAGUCCUUGCCUGUGGUGAUUGUGGCACAAUGGGGGCCACAGUCCUUCCUUGUAGUGACACAGAGGCACAGUGAGGGGCCACAGUCCUUCCUUGUAGUGACACUGGGGGACAAUGAGAGUCACAAUCCUUCCUUGUGGUGAUUGUGGCACAGUGAGGGGUCACAGUCCUUCCUUGUGGUGACACAGAGGCACAGUGAGGGGCCACAGUCCUUCCUUGUGGUCAUUGUGGCACAAUGAGAGUCACAGUCCUUCCUUGUGGUGAUUGGGGCACAAUGAGGGGUCACAGUCAUUGAUUGUGGUGAUUGUGACACAGUGAGUGGCCACAUUCCUUCCUUGUAGUGACACUGGGGGACAAUGAGAGUCACAGUCCUUGCUUGUGGCUACGCUGGGGCACAAUGAGGGGUCACAGUCCUUCCUUGUGGUGGGUGUGACACAGUGAGGGGUCACAGUCCUUGCUUGUGGUGAUUUUGGCACAAUGAGGGGUCACAAUCCUUGCUUGUGGUCNUUCCACAGAAACCCUCCAGAUAUUACCUGGAAUCCCUCCUCACUCCCAGAUUCCCAAGGUUUUGGAGAUCCCAGAUUCCACAGAAACCCUCCAGACCUUACCUGGAAUCUUUCCUCACUCCCAGAUUCCAGAGGGGUUUUGGAGUGCCCAAAUUCCACAGAUCUUUCCUCACUCCCAGAUUCCAGAGAGGUUUUGGAGAUCCCAGAUUCCACAGAAACCUCCAGACCUUACCUGGAAUCUUUCCUCACUCCCAGAUUCCAGAGGGGUUUUGGAGAGCCCAAAUUCCACAAAAACCCUCCAGACCUUACCUGGAAUCUUUCCUCACUCCCAGAUUCCAGAGGUUUUGGAGAUCCCAAAUUCCACAGAUCUUUCCUCACUCCCAGAUUCCAGAUUCCACAGAAACCCUCCAGAUAUUACCUGGAAUCCCUCCUCACUCCCAGAUUCCCA
rnacentral:lncRNA from 1 species